rnacentral:misc_RNA from 1 species
UACAGAGGUGGCAAGCGUUGUUCGGAUUCAUUGGGCGUAAAGGGUCCGUAGGCGGCCUGGAAAGUCGGGUGUGAAAUCCCACGGCUCAACCGUGGAACUGCACUCGAAACUCCCAGGCUAGAGUGUGAGAGGGGUGAAGGGAAUUCCCGGUGUAAGGGUGAAAUCUGCAGAGAUCGGGAAGAACACCAGUCGCGAAGGCGCUUCACUGGCUCGCAACUGACGCUGAGGGACGAAAGCUAGGGUAGCAAACGGG